UCACUGUCAGUCACACUUCAGCCUCGCGGUGCCUACAUGGUUCUCCUGGAACGUGGAAGACUGUGAUCGCAAAGUACUUCAAGCCAAAGACUGUCUUCAUCUGAGCUUAGAAAAAAAAAAAAUGACCUCUAACUUCCCAAUGGAGCAACUGAAGUUAGGAAAUGCUUAUCAGAGAUCUCAGAAUGACACACAUACUCUACAAAUUAGUCAGUGUUUUAACCCUCCUCACCUCAUGUCAGGACUCUUCAAAUGCGGAUCCAGAAUCUACUGAAAUUAGAGCAAGCUGUGAAAACGGUGAAGAGAAAGUGAAGACUCAUUCAGUCUUGACCUGGGUCCAUUGAAGUGGUUUUCCAGCAUUGCCUGGCUGAGUCAAACCCGGCCUUUUCGCAUACCAGGACCACUGAGCUCCACCAUCAGCCAGUCAGCAGUGGUUUAAAAGUCAACUAGACUGGAGACUGGCAAGAUGCCUUCUGAGUGGAUAUAAAGAAAAAAGAGAAGAAGGGCAAAGACCAGGUAUCCUGUCACUCUAGAUGGAGGGGGACAGAGAAACCAGCAAAGGCAGGCACAGUGAGAAGAGAAGAAUCAGACAGAGGAAGUGGUCAUCUCUGAGCCUGGCUCUUAGGGCUCAUUUAUCUUUGACACUUAGUGGAAUGGAAUGGAUCAAAACCACCAAAUCAGUGCAGAGCAUAGCUCAUCAGUCUGUACAGUUCCCUUUUCAGCCCUCCCUGGAAUUUUCUGCACAUUUCUACUCUGUGGGCAUGCCAAUCAGGUUCUGAUUAUAAGGAAACAUGCCAUUAAAGUUUAAGACUGUAGAAGUUAUUUCCAGGUUUUGAAACUAAAACCCUCACUUUUGGGUAGCACUGUAGAGCAUUUAAUUAGGAAGAUGCCCCUUAGUGAAUGUUGAAAUUGACUCCCUCUAUUUAAGGUAUGGGUCAGGAGGUGAGUUAUGUAGGUGGCCUUUCAUCUACCUAAGUGUACCUGGUGGAUGAGAAUCCAUAUUUUGCAAAAAGCAAAGGGAAUUAAAUCUAUUUUUAUCAGGAUCCUGAGGAUCCUUAUUUGGGAGAUGUCAAAUCUCUUCAUAAAUGAAGAUAUUUUAGAUGGCACUUUUAAUUUUCUUUUUGCUAUGACCAAUACUUGAUUAGAGGCAACUUAAGGGAGAAAGAUUUUUUUUUUUGGCUUAUGAUUUGAGAGGAAGUCUAUAAUAGGAGGGAAGACCUAGCGGCAGGCAUGUGAGGCAGCUGGUUUUACUCCAUCCACAGUCAGCAAAUGGAGUGAACAGGAAGUGGGGCUGGUGGACAGUUUCAAGCCACCCAUCCCUGUCUCCUCCUGCAAGGCUCUGCCUCUGGAAGGUUUUACAGUCUUCCAAAAUAGCUCCCCCAGCUGAGGGCCAAUUGUUCAAACAUAUGAGCCUGUUGGGAACUUUUCACAUUCAAACCACAACAGAUGAUAAAGUAAGCUAAUUUUUCACGGAAAGCCGAGACCCCUUGGGUUUACGGCUGAGAAAACCCUAGUCAAAAGCACAUUCCUUGAGAAAUUAGAGUAAUCCCUUAACCUGGAAGUGGCCUCAUAUUCCGAGAGCCCUGAGCUGGGUGUUCUCAUCCUCUUUGGAUUCAUUUGUCAUAUAAGCAGAAUCCCUUUGACAAACUUCCCUACAAUGAUUCUUCCAUAGAUGGUGGAUGGCUACCCUUGCCUCUGCCAAUGAUGUUGUCAUUAUUGGAGCGGGUCAAGCUUGGGCUCAUGCUCAUGUGAUUAGAGCUUGAUGUUGUCCAUCCAAAGUGCAUCAUCUAUUGGGCCACAUCCACGGGAAGGAGAGACCUGAAUGCCUCCUGCGAGAAACUUUAGAUCUCAAGUAGGGAUAGCAGUGUGCAUUACAAGAUUGGUCAUCUGCCUGAUUCUCCCUCCAUUUGAGGAUGAGUCCUUUCUCUACCUUUUAGUGGCACACCAGGUUAGGCUAAAAAUAUGUCAGUUCCUGGAUGUGCCUGGGUCUGCAACCUUCUUCCUCAGACCCCUCACCUCUACAGAAAAUGCCAUACCUAAAUUCUAUAUUCAGCACUGAUUGAUUUAAAAUCUAUCCAGACUUAAUAGAUUACAAUGAGUGUUCAUUAUUGUUUUGUUCAAUAACUAGAUAUUACAUGAAUAAUCAGAAGAGCCAAAGUACAGAUUCUUAAGCCAUUCUUCCCAGUAGCACCAUUUGGGGACCCUUUAAGCCCCUUGAUGCCUGGGGCAUACCCUAUGCUGAUUCAAUCAGAAUUUGGGGAGACAACUUGAUUGGUUGUUGUUAUUGUUGUUUUUCCUAAAUUCACUUAGUGAUUCCACUUAUGAUCAAGCCAGCAACCACUCUGCUAAAGGAGCAUUUCCCAAACUGGAGUCAGUGUAGUCCUAUCCUGAGUCUUGUUGAGUGAACUGCAAAUUCAAAUUCAGCCGGUCUACAGGGAGUCAGGUUCCUUACAAGCGUCUCUUGAGUGGUUAGUCUGGAAACCACCAUCUGAGAUUUGAGUAGCAAGGUGCUCAAAGUGCCAGCGGGUCUUUGACAGUGAGCUGACAGGAAGUCUGGUGCUUACCGCUAAGUGCCAAGGGGGAGCUGGAAAGAGCUGUGAGGACAGAGAGCUUCCAGGAAGACUCCGUCCCUUCACUGUACCCGGAAGACUCAAAAAAGAGAGGUUUGGGGACAUUUGACAGAGACUGAGAAAAGCCAGCUGUUGAUGACAAGUCUGCUCAUCAGACAUUAAGGUCAUACAUAGCCUUGGUGUCAGAAAUCCCUGGCGUGAGGAUCUGCUUUGGAGCAAUACUUCCAUUUUCCAAGAGAAUGCUGGGAUGCCUCAGUUUAUGAAUGACCCUGGACACAGCUUCCCUUUAAAAGCAAGAGAACCAGCAGAUGAUGCAAGAAGGGGAAGAGAAGCGUCUGGAAAAUGAAGAGAGGCUCUUGUCUCACCAGUGGUCUUUAAAUAAACACGGGGAUGCUGACUCAGAAAGAGCUCCCAGUGGAAAAAGCCUCUGAGAAGAUCCACCUCUUGUUGCAAGAAUGCCCUGCCACAACCCACCAAGGAUCAGGGGAAGAAGGCUGGGGCGGGUGGAGGGCUUGGGUGGGGUCAUGUCCUGUAUAGAAGCAUCUCUGGCUGGACUCAGAACGCACCUGUUGGGAGUGAGCAUGUUCCCUUCGGUGACCGGUUACAUAAUGCGUCUGUUGUCCAGGACAGUGGGGACCACAGGGCUAGGCCUCAGAGAUGCAGAAGGGAGCAAGUCCCAGUUGUCUUUGAGUGGCUCCCCAGCAUUCACACUGAGAUGCAGUGUUUGGAGUCAGAGACAUCAGCACUGUACCUUGAGGACCAAGCAGGCAACAACUGAAGUUAGGACUGCCAUUGACCAUAAGGCUGGGGUCUGGAAACUCUCACUGGGAUCUUUCUUCAUCUGUCCUUCAUUUCUGAUUUACUAGUCCCUGCUUUUUCCUCCUCUUUCUUCUUCUCACCCUUCUUCUUCUGUCUCUCCUCUUCCAGCUCUUCUUUCCCGUCCUAAUACUUAGUUGCAGUGGGGCAGUAGACAUUCACACUGGGAGGCACAUAACUGUACAUGGGCAUCCCCUGUGAUCUCCAGAUCUACUGUUGCUUACUAGAGAGACCAGAUGGAAUUUUGGCAGAGAACAGAAGGUUCCAUAGCUGUAGAUCCUCAGGGUCAUGGUCACACAGAGCCCUCAGUAGGACAUAAGUGUACUCUGGAGAGGCUGGGAGUGAGUUUCAGGGGUGGUGACUCUAGAAGUUAUGCCUGAAUAGAAGGAAGGUUCAGAUGCGGAAGUUGCAGCCCAUAGCAUACACACAGUGAAGUGGUAUUUUCAGUUCUCAGCUGGCCUCAGAGGUGUGUGCUGGGGCUGCCUUGGAGUCCAACACCACUGUCCUCAGAGCUGAGCUCAUAGACCUGACCUCACUGCCCUUCUGGCUCAUUUGCUCCAUUUCCUUUUUUAUAAAUGGUGCUUCUGUGGCUCGAGAACUAGGGUGCCAAGGCUCAUACAGUCACUGCAGGCCCUGGGGCCCUCUGCUGAAACUGGUACAAGCUUCACUGCCAGAUCCCGAUCGCUUCCCCGAAAGCCGUUACAUGGUGUCCUCACCAUGCGCUAUCAGAAAGUCCUUUUAUGGCAAUGGGUUGGUCCUAGGAAGCCAUCUGGGAGACACUCAGAACAUGUAGUUGUUUUGUAAGCAGCGUGACUGUGCUCUAAAGAGGUGCCCGAUGAAGAAGGAAAGACCAAUUAAAAUUACAGACGGGAGGAGUGUUCAGGAGGGAAGCAUGAUGGACUUGGGGGGUCACAGGAAAGCUCUCCGUAAGGAAUACAGUAGGAGAGGUGUCCAGUGUGCCAUGAUGUUUCAUAUGGGAGGGUGUGGUCACAGUCACAGCAUCUUCUUAACUUCCCUGAAAUCUGUUCUAACAUCUGGGCAGUUGUUCCCAGUCUUGGUGUUUAUCUUAUUCUUGAUCAAUCUCUUCCUUUUCUGGGGGAGUGCUCACAAGGUCUCUGCAACUUAUUUUUCCUGUGAAGUAAGUGUGAAUGGAGCUUGGAAACUUAGUUUAUUAUAGACACCUUGGCAGGGGAGAUACCAUGGCCACAAAGGUGGUUUUUCCAGAGUGAACCUCAUCCAUUGCACUCAUGAUGAGCCGACCCCCGUGAUUUCCCCCAAAUUCUGGAAACUCGGCUGCAUAAUUUGUGGUCAUGGGGGACUGUGUUUGCAUUCUCCCCUGAGGAAACAAAAGAAAAUUUUAUAUUGUUAAUUAGAUGUGCAAA